UUACCGCUAAGGAUUUAAUCUUUUUCCAUGGCGUGAUUACAGAGUCGAUACACCAUCCUAAACAGUAUGAUUAUUUAAAAAUUAUACCUUCAAAAUUUUCUUCUCUGUGUUCUACCCUUUGUGUAUUUUUACUAGUUUCUCCAUCAUGCCCUUUUUUUCUGUGCGAUAAUCAUUUUUAAUGUAAGGAGUAUUCGAUUUAGCACUGCUUGGAAAUAUAAAACUUGGAAAAGAUGUCCAUAUGUUUCUUUUCACUUUGGUGUAAACCUGAUUUAAUUAAAAGGUACUUGUCGGCGAGUCUUGGAACAGUUAAUUAAUGUUCAUCCAGGAGCCAUAAUAUCAUAAAAAAAAUUGUAGAUGGCAUAUUCGACUCUUAAUGCUAAGUACUUUUAAGAAUCAGUUAAAAGAGGUAAAAUUUUUUCCUAUUUUGUAUCCCAGACUGUUGCAGUCUCACAGGUGUUGUAACGUCACCUGGAGCAAGAUAUUUCUAGAAACCUUCGCCUCCAGUUACCAACUUUGAACUUUAUGAGGUAAAUGGCCAGCAACAUAAAAUAAGCCUUCCAUUCACACACGGCAUGUGACAUAGGAUGGUCCCGGUGUUCGAAGUGGAUGAGGCCCCUGUGAUCAACAAGAAAGGCCUUUAGAUUAUUUCCAAAUCAAGCCGAUUUUAACAAGGUUUUGCCCAAGCUGUUAUUAUUGACCAGACAAGUUACUGGGGUAAGUACAAACACUUGCCUCAUUCACUUAGCAGACAGCACCGACUGACCUUCCCUAAUGAACAACAGAAUACUCUUGCUGUCAUUCAGUACGGGUUCUGAAGCGCAAAGGGAUGGUGUGCUGUGUGCGGAGAGGGCUAGGGCGAGGGAGGUGGUGGCUGAAUCCUUACUGGGCGACAAGGACGGGCGGCGGCGCUGAGGUGCGGGAGGCGGCCAGUCGCGUGCCGGCCGCUGCAUCGUGAACACUUCCGCGGCACCCUCAGCGAAUAGGUAACCGAACUGUAAGAGGAAAAAGACAGUAAAAAGACGAUUUGGUACUCACGUGUGACGGCAGUGAGAGAGAGAUAAGACACUGAGGAUUCGUGGAGCACCAGACCACUCCUUAGUAAGGGUUGACGCCUCGCCUCCGUGUCACUCAAGACUGUUCAUUCCUGCCUCCAGUUACUUCCUUCGCCAUGGACCCCGCCAGGAUAUUGCAGAUCAUCACCAACAGCACCUGGAUGGACAAGCGCCUGCUCUUCUCCAACUCGGCCCCCACUGUGUGAACUGAGAGUUGAGCGGUUGGGAGCUGAUUCAACCUUAGUAUAUGUACAAGGGAUCUCCUAUAGAUUUUGCCCUGCACCUGUCACAGCCGCCGAUCUGCUCCAGAGUACGUGCACUGAGGCAGGACAUUGGCUGGCCGAAGUCCCCUCAGCGACAAACAUGGACGGGAUAGAAACGCGUCCCGCUCUUCUAAAUUCCUCUUCUUAUUCGGACUUGGCUAACUAAUCUUGAAAGCUCAUCUCAGUAUGUAUGAUCAAGUGUGUUUUAUGUAUUAUUCAGUAUAUUACUCUUUGUAAUACAUUCUCUGCUUUAUUACAAUAGAGAUGCAUGGAGAAACUACUCAUAUUCUAUAUUUUGACAUCCAUGGAAAUAGAAAUGUUACAUGUAACUAGAAAUUUCGUACACAUAAAGUAUAUACGUAUAUCUCUCGGCAAAGCAGUCCAACUCAAUAACUGACUUCUGUAUGUAUGAUUAAUUAAUUAAUUCACACUACGUAGCGAAAUCACUGCUGUCAAACAUGAUAAUAAUUUACCUUCAUUUGACGGGGUGUGUGUGUGUGUGUGUGUGUGUGUGUGUGUGUGUGUGUGUGUGUGUGUGUGUGUGUGUGUGUGUGUGUGUUCAUGUGUGUUCAUGUGUGUGUUCGUGUGUGUGUGUGUGUGUGUGUGUGUGUGUGUGUGUGUGUGUGUGUGUGUGUGUGUGUGUGUUGGUGUGGGUGUGGGUGUAUGUGUGUGAGUGGGUGGGCGAGUGGCUUGCAGGUGUGGGUGUUCUUUACAUCACUGUCGUCUGAACAGAAAGAUGAGUACAGUUUGUCUUCUCUAUAAAAGCCAAAUUCAUUCUAAAGGCACAAUGAAAGAAGCCCCAGUUUUCCGAGCUAUACAUCAACGUUAUUCUAAGGCCACCAGGUGUCGGUGUGCAGUGCGGCGUGAAACUCUUCUGUACAUAAUACAAAUGGUUUCUACUAUUGCUCCAUUAACAAAACCGGAACCUGAAUAAUUUACUGGUAUUGCAUGGAAAGCUGCUGUCAAGUGUAGAUGCAAGUAAGAUACUCUGUUAUUGCGUUGGACGAAAUAUUCAUAUGUAUUAUUUUCGUUUGUAAUUUUGUACAAUACUUUGCAUUCUUUUUGCAUAUUUUUUCAUUUAGUGUCACGUUAGAGUGGCACUUUUCUCAAUGAAAAAGUGAUUUGGCAAAUAUUGCAGACGCUUUUCUCAAAAAAAAGUAUAACAAGUUUUUAUAAUAGGUAUUUUACCGAAAAUCUUCAGUUCUUAAAUUUAAGCAAACUUAUCGCUUUUUCUUGAGCGUUAUUUUUUUUUUUACGGUCAUCACUUACGUGGAAAAAGUAUA